rnacentral:rRNA from 1 species
GACGAACGCUGGCGGCGUGGAUUAGGCAUGCAAGUCGGACGGUAGGGCUUUAUCGUAAGAUAGAGUUUGAGAGUGGCGAACUGGUGAGUAAACACGUAGGUUAUCUACCCUCCAAGACGGGGACAACCCAGGGAAACUUGGGCUAAUACCGGAUGUGAGCAACUUUUAGUUGUUUGAAAGGUGGCGUAAGCUGUCGCUUGGGGAUGAGCCUGCGUCCUAUUAGUUAGUUGGUGAGGUAACGGCUCACCUAGGCAAUGAUAGGUAGGCGGCCUUAACGGGUGGUCGCCCACACUGGGAUUGAGAUACGGCCCAGACUCCUACGGGAGGCAGCAGUCGAGAAUAGUCUACAAUGGUCGGAAGACUGAUAGUGCGACGCCGCGUGAACGAUGAAUCCCUUCGGGGUUAAAGUUCUUUUAUAUGUGAGCAGUGCUUCUUAUAUUAACAGUAUGGGGAGAGAGAUAUUAGCAUAUGAAUAAGCAACGGCUAACUCCGUGCCAGCAGCCG